AAAUCCUGGUUUUAUUCCCGGUUCUGCUCCCAAAUCCCGGUCUUAUUCCUGUUUUUUUUCCCAAAUCCUGGUUUUAUUCCCGUUUGUUUCCCAAUCCCGGUCCCAUUCCUGCUCCCGGAGGCCGCGGAUGGACGGGACACGGGGAAGGAAUUCCGGGAAUGAGCCCGACCCCAUCCCUUCGGAAUCCGGGAUAUCGGGAACCGUCCUGCCCCAGGAAUAAAAUCCCGACGGGAAUCGAUAAAUUCCUGGAAUUUCCCCUCGGGAAUCUCAGAAUUCCCGAAGGAAAACGGAACCGGAACGGACGGAGCCAAGAAUUCCGGAAUGGAAUUCCAACGGAUCGCGAUUCCUUGGGAAUUUCCCCCGCCCCUCCCUCAUCCCAAAAAAUUCCCACUGAGCCCCAAUUCCAAGAAUUCCCGAGAAUCUCCCGGAAUUCCCAAAACCUCGGGAAUUUUUUGGGGGGGGGGUCUCUAUCCCGGAUAAAGCAAAUCCCGGGAAAAAACUCCGGGAUCGCAGCGAACUUCCGGCUGUUUCCUCGGGAAUUCUCGAUUUCCCGGGAAAAUCCCGGAAAAAGCAGCUCCUUCCUUUUCCUCGCCACUUCCCAUGGUUUUCCUUGGAAUUCCCGGGAUUUUCCCGCGGAUGGGAGGAGCUUCCCGAGUUUUUUCCCUCUUGUUUUUCCCAAUUCCCGGCUCAAAUCCCGCAGAAAUCCCGGGAAUUUUCCCGCCAUCCCCACAUUCCAAAGGAAAUCCCAAAUUCCAGAAAUCCGGGAAGGAAAAAACAUCCCGGAAUCUUUAAAUUCCCGAAUUUCCAGCGGGAACCGGGAUUUUCAUUCCCUAAUUCCCAGAAAAACCAGGAAUUUUGGAGAGGAGAAAGGAUUUAAAUAUCCCGGAAUAACCCGGAUAUCGAAAUUCCCACAAAACCCCGGAAGAAUUCCCGGAAUUUCCAGCUCCAAUCCCAAAAUUCCCUUUGAAGGAAAACCCUUCCCAAUUCCCGUUUUUUUCCUCGGGAAUUCCUGGAAUUUUCGCCGCCGGAAAAGCGGG
rnacentral:lncRNA from 1 species